UACACCUCGCAGCCGCGUUGGGUCGGAGAGCCGUGUCUUUCAAUGGGCGAUUCUCCCCGGCCACUGCAACCAGCCUCCGAUUUGGGGGGGGGGGGGGGGGGGGGGGGGCUGGUCCCACUGAGGAUUAUAUGCACUCCGCGCCCCGCACCCCUAACCCCAGCCCUUUAUCCCGGAGACCCUCAGCUCUGUCCGAACCCUGGCUUUCCCAGUACAAAAAGUACCCGAGUCUCGCUGUCUCCCCCCCCCACCUCUGUUUCUCCUCAGUUUGGCCUCCGGCUAAGAAUCUAUUCGCCACCUGCUCCGACCCCACGUUUCACAAGAAGGGACGCGGAUGCAGUCCGAGUUGCGCUUCGAGUCGACCCAGGGUGUUGGGAGCUCCGGACAGGAAAGCGAUGUCGUCCAGAGCAGAUCCUGAACGUGUCAUUAAAAAUGGAAAACGUUGGGAACACUUUGCGGGUCAGGCAGCAUCGGUGAGGAAGAAACCAGGACAACCGUUAGAAUUCAAGGAGAUUUCAUCAGAUGGCUUUUGACCCGCUGACUCUCAAGCAUUUGUUUGUUUUGGAUUUCCUGCAUCUGUAGCUUAUGUACUGCGGCAUAUUAAUAGAUGCCUUCCAUAGGCACCAUAAUAAGUAAACGUGAUGGCAUAUGUUGCUUGUGUAAUGUGAUUUACUGGAUGCUACUUUAAAAAAAAAAUCUAUUAUUUCUUCAUAUCUAUGAAAUACUUUGAUAUCCACAUCGACAGUAGACAUUUGCUGCCCUCUUCCCAUUAAGAAAGAAAUGCAAGGCUACUUCUUAACUUGACUAAUGAGGAAAUAAAAUAACAUUUUCCUGGGAAAA